UGGGGAAUCUUGCACAAUGGGGGAAACCCUGAUGCAGCGACGCCGCGUGAGCGAUGAAGGUUUUCGAAUCGUAAAGCUCUGUCCUAUGGGAAGAUAAUGACGGUACCAUGGGAGGAAGCCCCGGCUAACUACGUGCCAGCAGCCGCGGUAAUACGUAGGGGGCGAGCGUUGUCCGGAAUUACUGGGCGUAAAGGGUUCGCAGGCGGCAUGGCAAGUCCGAUGUAAAAGGCGAAGGCUCAACCUUCGUAAGCAUCGGAAACUGUCAAGCUUGAGUGAAGGAGAGGCAAGUGGAAUUCCUAGUGUAGCGGUGGAAUGCGUAGAUAUUAGGAGGAAUACCGGUGGCGAAGGCGACUUGCUGGACUUCAACUGACGCUGAGGAACGAAAGCGUAGGUAGCAAACAGG
rnacentral:rRNA from 1 species